CUAAACUUUACAAUGCAGGAAACUGUGAUAAGGGAACCCCGAGUGCCCGUAUAUGCGGGCUGUCCGGAUGUUUAAAACGCAUCCGAAGAAAGGGCCGGGCAAGACCGGUGCCAGCCGCCGCGGUAAUACCGGCGGCUCGAGUGGUGGCCACUUUUAUUGGGCUUAAAGCGUUCGUAGCUUGAAUAAUAAGUCUCUUGGGAAAUCUGCAGGCUUAACCUGCAGGCGUUUAAGAGAAACUGUUGUUCUAGGAACCGGAAGAGGUGAGAGGUACUCCGGGGGUAGGAGUGAAAUCCUGUAAUCCCCGGGGGACCACCGAUGGCGAAGGCAUCUCACCAGGACGGCUUCGACAGUGAGGAACGAAAGCUGGGGGAGCGAACCGGAUUAGAUACCCGGGUAGUCCCAGCCGUAAACAAUGCGCGUUAGGUGA
rnacentral:rRNA from 1 species